rnacentral:rRNA from 1 species
GACGAACGCUGGCGGUGCGCUUAACCCAUGCAAGUCGAACGGAAAGGCCCUGCUUUCGUGGGGUGCUCGAGUGGCGAACGGGUGAGUACCACGUGAGUAACUUGCCCAUGACUCUCGGAUACCCUCCGUUAACUCGGGCUAAUACCGGCUUGCCGCUCCCGCUGCACGGUGGGCGUUGGAACGCUUCGGCGGUUGGGGAUGGACUCGCGGCUUAUCAGCUUGUUGGCGGGGUAGUGGCUUACCAAGGCUUUGACGGGUAGCCGGCCUGAGAGGGUGACCGGCCGCAUGGGGACUAAGGACCGGCCGAGUACCCAACGAGGGGCAACAGUGGAGAGAAGAGCACGGUAGGCGGACGCCGGAUGCCGCAGCGCGGCGUGCGGAAUAACUGCCUUCGGGGUGUAUUCCGCUCUCGCCUGAGACGAAGCGAGAGUGACGGUAACAGGUAAGGAAGCACCGGCUAACUACGUG